UGGUGGAGUGAUUUGUCUGGUUAGUUCCGUUAACGAACGAGACCUUAACCUGCUAAAUAGUUACAUGUAACUUCGGUUACAUGGGCAACUUCUUAGAGGGACUUUGCGUGUCUAACGCAAGGAAGUUUGAGGCAAUAACA
rnacentral:rRNA from 1 species